CCCUGGUGGCUCAGAUGGUAAAGAUUCUGCCUGGAAUGCAGGAGACUCAGGUUCGAUCCCUGGAUCAGGAA
rnacentral:tRNA from 1 species